CCAACGGCAAAAACAUACCUGUUGUGGAUCUUGAGAUUGGCGUUAACCAAGAAGAGGAAGAUCUGAAGAAAGCUAAAGCUAUGAGUCUUUAUGAUUUAAAUAAUGAUGAUGAACUUCAGCCCUCUCCUGCAGAAUUUGGGGUUUCUGUUGAAACAUUGAAACGGUCAAAAGAAGAAAUUGAAAAUACUAAAAA